rnacentral:rRNA from 1 species
AUUGAACGCUGGCGGAAUGCUUUACACAUGCAAGUCGAGCGGCAGCGCGGGGGCAACCCUGGCGGCGAGCGGCGAACGGGUGAGUAACAUAUCGGAACGUACCCAGUCGUGGGGGAUAACUAUCCGAAAGGACAGCUAAUACCGCAUACGUCCUGAGGGAGAAAGCGGGGGAUCGCAAGACCUCGCGCGAUUGGAGCGGCCGAUAUCGGAUUAGCUAGUUGGUGGGGUAAAGGCUCACCAAGGCGACGAUCCGUAGCGGGUCUGAGAGGACGACCCGCCACACUGGAACUGAGACACGGUCCAGACUCCUACGGGAGGCAGCAGUGGGGAAUUUUGGACAAUGGGCGCAAGCCUGAUCCAGCCAUGCCGCGUGCGG